GGCUCGUCCAAGUGCGGUGGUGUUUACAACUAAUUGAUCACAACCAGUUACAGAUUUCUUUGUUCCUUUUCCAUUCCCACUGCUUCACUUGACUAGCGGAAA
ensembl:misc_RNA Y_RNA Y RNA